rnacentral:lncRNA from 1 species
CGCUCACUGUGCGGGUAUAUGACAGUGAUCUCAGCAAAGUUGUCCACAGGUUCCUGGAUAUGUGCCCCACCAGCGGGCCAAACUGCGGCACAGCUGAAGUCAUCUACAAGAAGAUGGAUGAGGCCAUGCAGAAAAACGCCAUACCAUGGAGAAACUGUGUCAGUCUGUCAGUUGAUAAUGCCCCUGUCAAUACAGGAGCAAGGGACUCCAUCGCAUCCAGAGCUCAUCAAGAACAUGGCAGUAUCUACAUCCAUGGGUGCCCUUGUCACCCAUGGAUGUAGGAUCUCGCUGUGGAUGUUGGAUAUAGGUUUAAAGGAAGCACCAAUCGCAAAGGUUACCUAACAGGUAUGUGUGUGCAGUCCCAAUGUAGUACAAAUUAAAUCUAUAAUACUUUGAUCAAAUUGGCAUUAAGAUGUUCCAUUCUUGUCCUAGAAUUCUGUGAGCUCCAUGGAAGUGAGUAUAUGGAAAUGCUCAUGCACGUUUCUGUUCGAUGGUUGAGCCUGGAGAAGUGUUUGACUCGUAUCCUGCAGCAGUAUGAGCCACUGGCCAGCUACUUCAAGUCAUUAAAUGACAAACAGCCAAGGUUCAGGAGGCUUGUGGAGGCAUUCUCUGACUCAAUUACAGAGGUGUACCUACUGUUCUUUCAAGCAACUUUUCCAGUCUUCUCCACAUUCAACCUCCUCCUCCAGAGAGAGAAGUCGUCAAUCUUCCUACUACAUGAUGAGAUGAGGGGUUUUAUCCGCAAGCUGCUCUCAAAGUUUCUGAAGCCCGCAGCAUUGCAGCACCGGGAACUGCAUGAAAUAUGCUUUAAGGAGCCAUCCAACCAACUGCCAGGUGAUUACUAAUUGUCCAGGUUUUACACAUGCACUAUCCACUCACUGAUCUCACUCAACACACUUUUCGUUAGAGGGCUGCAGUCAUCUCGUCACAAUCACUGAUAUGAUGAAGAUACUUAAAGGGGUGCUUUCAAGUUGGCUAUUGUGGUUUUUGAUGGUGACUAAAGUGACUCAACACAGUCUUGUUCCCGUCUCAUACUGACAUGUUACUGCAUACAGCAUCGUUAAUGACCUCUGCAGUUGUUGAUUUGUGUCUCUUGUAGGAGAAAAGUUGGUGAUUGGCUUCACUACUCGAGUUACACUCAACAGGCUCCUUGAAGCAGGAGCCAUUACACCGCAGCAAGUGCAGAGGUUCCAGAAGGCAGCAGUGGCGUUUCUGGAAAGGGCUGUGGAGUAUGCCAUCAAGAAACUCCCCAUGAAAGAGCCUCUGAUUAAACAUGCCAUGUUUCUGGAUGUCCAGCAGAGAGCAGAGUGUGGAGUGGAAGAUGCCUUCUACUUUGUCAAGUUGGGCUAUCAAGUAAAGUACAUUUUAUCUAUAG